ACUACGGGUGGCAGCAGUGAGGAAUAUUGGUCAAUGGCCGGAAGGCUGAACCAGCCAAGCCGCGUGAAGGACGAAGGUGCCAAGCAUUGUAAACCUCUUUUGUCAAGGGACAAAAUCAGGCUCGAGAGCCUGACCGAGGGUACUUGAAGAAAAAGCAUCGGCUAACUCCGUGCCAGCAGCCGCGGUAAUAGGGCGGAUGCGAGCGUUAUCCGGAUUUAUGGGGUUUAAAGGGUGCGUAGGCGGGCUGUUAAGUCAGCGGGAAAAGCCCGGGGCUCAACAGCGGCGAGCCGUUGAGACUGGCUGUCUUGAGAUGUCGGGAGGUAUGAGGAAUGCGCAGUGUAGCGGUGAAAUGCUUAGAUAUUGCGCAGAACUCCGAUUGCGAAGGCAGCAUACCGGCGGCGAUCUGACGCUGAGGCACGAAAGCGUGGGUAUCGAACAGGAUUAGAUACCCCUGUAGUC
rnacentral:rRNA from 1 species